rnacentral:rRNA from 1 species
GUUUGAUCCUGGCUCAGAUUGAACGCUGGCGGCAUGCUUUUACACAUGCAAGUCGAACGGUAACAGGCCUUCGGGUGCUGACGAGUGGCGAACGGGUGAGUAAUGCAUCGGAACGUGCCCAAUCGUGGGGGAUAACGUAGCGAAAGUUACGCUAAUACCGCAUAAGCCCUGAGGGGGAAAGCAGGGGAUCGCAAGACCUUGCGCGAAUGGAGCGGCCGAUGUCAGAUUAGCUAGUUGGUGGGGUAAAAGGCCUACCAAGGCGACGAUCUGUAGCGGGUCUGAGAGGAUGAUCCGCCACACUGGGACUGAGACACGGCCAGACUCCUACGGGAGGCAGCAGUAGGGAAUAUUGGGCAAUGGACGGAAGUCUGACCCAGCCACGCCGCGUGCAGGAGGAAGGCGCUCUGCGUUGUAAACUGCUUUAGCAGGGGAAGAAAAGACUCAUGCGUGAGGAAUUGACGGUACCUGAGAAUAAGCACCGGCUAACUACGUGCCAGCAGCG